GCGCCUGUAGCUCAGUUGGAUAGAGCGGUUGCCUUCGAAGCAAUAGGUCACAGGUUCGAGUCCUGUCAGGCGCA
rnacentral:tRNA from 2 species